CACUUGCAGCGCUCGCCUCUCAGUCAACACACACACAAGUGCAGCGAAAGCUACAUGUAUGCGAUACGAGUAUUCGAGUAUUCAAGCAUUCGCGUACAGACAGCUGUUGAACGCUUUUGACAGCAACAAGGAAAAACAAAACAAAAACAACUAAGCCGCCAAAACAGAAAGCUUCUAUAUAUUGGGGAGGAGUGGGUGGUGCAGGCGUCAUCCGAAAUUUGUGUUAUGAUGGCUGCUUUUGCUAGUACUGCGAACGCCUCGCGCAAUCUGUCUCUCUCUCUCUCUCUCUCUCUCUCUCUGUCUCAUGCUUUGUGACUAUGCGAACGGACUGUCUGCAGACAGUGGCCAGACAGCUGGGUGGCAGGGUGAAUUACAGGAGCGCUGCAGCGGUUUCUGAUUAAGAGUGAGGUGAUGUCUCUAUAAAGAAGGAAGGAUCUGGAUGAAUCUAUAUAAUAUUUACAAACACUUUGAUAUUACAAACUUAAUUAAUAUUUGUUUCAAUUUUAAUCCAACUGAUGGCUGCACAAAUUUGUAAACGUAAACAAAAAUAAAAUAAGAUAUGAGAAUAGAUAUACCUUCAAAAUAUAUAUAAAUAUAAUAAAAUAUCAAAAAAUAUAUUUUUAGUCAAUUUUAUCACAGAUAUUAAGUGGUUUCCUUGCCCUAGUUAACCUCCGUCGGUUAUUUUUACUCUUUGCCAAAUUGAGAAUUUCGCCAAUGAUACGAAUAUUCCUGGUAGUAGUAAUACCAAUAUAUAUACACUGAUAUAAUACCCUAUUAUAUAUUAUAAUAUACGAAAUAAUAUAUAAAUUUUUUUAUUUUCUAAACUCGAAAGUAAAAAUAAUCUAUCAAUUCAUUAUGAAACAUGUUUUCAGCAGGGACCACAAAUCAGAGUUAUGAAUUAAAAA